UACGUAGGGACCAAGCGUUGUUCGGAUUUACUGGGCGUAAAGGGCGCGUAGGCGGCAAUUCAAGUCAGCUGUGAAUCUCCGAGCUUAACUCGGAACGGUCAGCUGAUACUGUUUUGCUAGAGUGCAGAAAGGGCAACCGGAAUUCUUGGUGUAGCGGUGAAAUGCGUAGAUAUCUGGAGGAACACCGGUGGCGAAGGCGGCACUCUGGGACGUGACUGACGCUGAGACGCGCAAGCGUGGGAGCAACAGG
rnacentral:rRNA from 1 species